rnacentral:rRNA from 1 species
CAGCCGCCGCGGUAAUACGAAGGGGGCUAGCGUUGUUCGGAAUUACUGGGCGUAAAGCGCACGUAGGCGGAUAUUUAAGUCAGGGGUGAAAUCCCAGAGCUCAACUCUGGAACUGCCUUUGAUACUGGGUAUCUUGAGUAUGGAAAAGGUGAGUGGAAUUCCGAGUGUAGAGGUGAAAUUCGUAGAUAUUCGGAGGAACACCAGUGGCGAAGGCGGCUCACUGGUCCAUUACUGACGCUGAGGUGCGAAAGCGUGGGGAGCAAACAGGAUUAGAUACCCCUGUAGUCCCUGUCUCUUAUAC